rnacentral:rRNA from 1 species
GUAGGUGGCAAGCGUUGUCCGGAAUUAUUGGGCGUAAAGCGCGCGCAGGCGGUUCUUUAAGUCUGAUGUGAAAGCCCACGGCUCAACCGUGGAGGGUCAUUGGAAACUGGAGAACUUGAGUACAGAAGAGGAAAGCGGAAUUCCACGUGUAGCGGUGAAAUACGUAGAGAUGUGGAGGAACACCUGUGGCGAAGGCGGCUUUCUGGUCUGUAACUGACGCUGAGGCGCGAAAGCGUGGGGAGCAAACAGGGAUUAGAUACCCUGGUAGUCCACGCCGUAAACGAUGAGUGCUAAGUGUUAGGGGGUUUCCGCCCCCUUAGUGCUGCAGCUAACGCAUUAAGCACUCCGCCUGGGGAGUACGGCCGCAAGGCUG